rnacentral:rRNA from 1 species
ACGCUGGCGGCAGGCUUAACACAUGCAAGUCGAACGGUAACAGGGAUUAGCUUGCUAAUUUGCUGACGAGUGGCGGACGGGUGAGUAAUGCUUGGGAAUCUGGCUUAUGGAGGGGGAUAACUACGGGAAACUGUAGCUAAUACCGCGUAAUAUCGGAAGAUUAAAGGGUGGGACUUUCGAGCCACCUGCCAUAAGAUGAGCCCAAGUGGGAUUAGGUAGUUGGUUAGGUAAAGGCUGACCAAGCCGACGAUCUCUAGCUGGUCUGAGAGGAUGACCAGCCACACUGGAACUGAGACACGGUCCAGACUCCUACGGGAGGCAGCAGUGGGGAAUAUUGCACAAUGGGGGGAACCCUGAUGCAGCCAUGCCGCGUGAAUGAAGAAGGCCUUCGGGUUGUAAAGUUCUUUCGGUGACGAGGAAGGUUGAUAGGUUAAUAGCCUAUCAAAUUGACGUUAAUCACAGAAGAAGCACCGGCUAACUCCGUGCCAGCAGCCGCGGUAAUACGGGGGGUGCGAGCGUUAAUCGGAAUAACUGGGCGUAAAGGGCACGCAGGCGGUGACUUAAGUGAGAUGUGAAAGCCCCGAGCUUAACUUGGGAAUUGCAUUUCAUACUGGGUCGCUAGAGUACUUUAGGGAGGGGUAGAAUUCCACGUGUAGCGGUGAAAUGCGUAGAGAUGUGGAGGAAUACCGAAGGCGAAGGCAGCCCCUUGGGAAUGUACUGACGCUCAUGUGCGAAAGCGUGGGGAGCAAACAGGAUUAGAUACCCUGGUAGUCCACGCUGUAAACGAUGUCGAUUUGGGGAUUGGGCUUUGAGCUUGGUGCCCGUAGCUAACGUGAUAAAUCGACCGCCUGGGGAGUACGGCCGCAAGGUUAAAACUCAAAUGAAUUGACGGGGGCCCGCACAAGCGGUGG